UUUAAUUGAAACCAAAUAGAGGUAUAUCACUGUUAAUGAUAAAAAUGAGAAAGUACUCCAAUUAA
rnacentral:tRNA from 1 species